AUUGAACGCUGGCGGCAUGCUUUACACAUGCAAGUCGAGCGGCAGCGCGGGGGCAACCCUGGCGGCGAGCGGCGAACGGGUGAGUAACACAUCGGAACGUAUCCCGUAGUGGGGGAUAAC
rnacentral:rRNA from 1 species